UACGUAGGGUGCGAGCGUUGUCCGGAAUUAUUGGGCGUAAAGAGCUCGUAGGCGGCUCGUCGCGUCUGCUGUGAAAGCCCGGGGCUUAACCCCGGGUCUGCAGUGGGUACGGGCGGGCUAGAGUGCGGUAGGGGAGACUGGAAUUCCUGGUGUAGCGGUGAAAUGCGCAGAUAUCAGGAGGAACACCGGUGGCGAAGGCGGGUCUCAGGGCCGUAACUGACGCUGAGGAGCGAAAGCAUGGGUAGCGAAC
rnacentral:rRNA from 1 species